GGUUUUUGUACCAGCUGCACGAUAAAACUUUUACUGCUGUAUAUGCUGCAAGCUGUCAAUGAGCAGAAAAACAACAUUUGAGAUAGUUGAAAAUGAUACAAAGACCAUGGAGAUAUAUCUGGGAUAAAUGAACUUUUAAAAGUAUUCUGUGUAGUCUGUCAUUAAAUAUGAGCUCAUAAAAAUGGUAUUUGUAUAACCAUAAAAAUUGCUGAAGCAUGGUUUCUUGGAUUCAUAUGUGGUUGACAUUAACACUCAUUGCUAACUCUGUAGGCCUAUGUGAAAACAGUAUUGCACCUGUAGAACCCUUUUCGGGACAGUUGAGUCAUUUGCCUGCAUGGACAUGAUUAGUUGAGCUCAUAUUGGGCUGGGAGUAAAGUGGUUUCAUAUGAGAGACGUGUGCAUGUUUGAAGAGUUCUGCGAGUAGUAUGUGUCUUUAAUGCUGUGAAUCUUUCAGUGGAUGAUUUUCAAAGACAAUGAAAAGAGCUUCAUUAAGACCUCAACAACUCAAAGAGAAGCUCCUUCAGGCCAUCGAUGCUCAAAGUAACGAAACCAGGCUUGGAAAGUUGAUCAAUGAUGUGAGAAAAAGGACCACAGAUGAAGAUCUUGUUAAACGUUUAAAAAAUCUGAUACGACAUUGGCAGAGGCUGGUUGGAGGAAAUGAAGUCACCACAGAAGAGCUCUCAAGCUUUGCAGUCAAUUCGACUUCUGCUGAAUGUAUUCCUGGAUCAACACAAACCCUUACUGAAAAUUACCACAGUAACAUGAGUGAGAGGGUUGAAAUGUCUCAGGGUUCGGUACCAGAUAAAACCAAUUAAUAUCCAAACAAUUUUAGAAAGAGUAAAAUACCUGUCCAUGCGAUCAAACCAUAUUCAUCGUCCAUCGAGCUUUUACAACAGUCCACAAGCUGGAGAACAUCUCUGUCCAAUUAUCAUUCCCAAAAUGACCAUUAUACCAUUAUCAAAGACGAGUGCAGGUCUGAAAGAAACACCACCCCUGCCAGUCACAGCGACGAAAAGCACUUUUUGGCAGCCACGGAACCAGCACAAUCCACUUCCAUUACUUCUCAUCUUCCAAAUUCAUUUUUCCAAGAUACACAUGUAAAGAUGCAACAUCCUUCAGACCUCCUCAACAUACUCAAACCUGCUACACUAAAUGGUAACCUCGAUGAGGUCUCCAGCACAGUGACAGACACAAACAUAAGGCGUUUUGAGAAUAAGAUGAGGAAGAAACAGUAUAA
ensembl:lncRNA